rnacentral:rRNA from 1 species
GAUGAACGCUGGUGGCGUGCCUAAUACAUGCAAGUCGUACGCUAGCCGCUGAAUUGAUCCUUCGGGUGAAGUGAGGCAAUGACUAGAGUGGCGAACUGGUGAGUAACACGUAAGAAACCUGCCCUUUAGUGGGGGAUAACAUUUGGAAACAGAUGCUAAUACCGCGUAACAACAAAUCACACAUGUGAUCUGUUUGAAAGGUCCUUUUGGAUCGCUAGAGGAUGGUCUUGCGGCGUAUUAGCUUGUUGGUAGGGUAGAAGCCUACCAAGGCAAUGAUGCGUAGCCGAGUUGAGAGACUGGCCGGCCACAUUGGGACUGAGACACUGCCCAAACUCCUACGGGAGGCUGCAGUAGGGAAUUUUCCGCAAUGCACGAAAGUGUGACGGAGCGACGCCGCGUGUGUGAUGAAGGCUUUCGGGUCGUAAAGCACUGUUGUAAGGGAAGAAUAACUGAAUUCAGAGAAAGUUUUCAGCUUGACGGUACCUUACCAGAAAGGGAUGGCUAAAUACGUG